rnacentral:rRNA from 1 species
CUUCCGUAGGUGAACCUGCGGAAGGAUCAUUACCUAGAGUUGUAGGCUUUGCCUACCAUCUCUUACCCAUGUCUUUUGAGUACCUUCGUUUCCUCGGCGGGUCCGCCCGCCGAUUGGACAAACUUAAACCCUUUGUAAUUGAAAUCAGCGUCUGAAAAAACAUAAUAGUUACAACUUUCAACAACGGAUCUCUUGGUUCUGGCAUCGAUGAAGAACGCAGCGAAAUGCGAUAAGUAGUGUGAAUUGCAGAAUUCAGUGAAUCAUCGAAUCUUUGAACGCACAUUGCGCCCCUUGGUAUUCCAUGGGGCAUGCCUGUUCGAGCGUCAUUUGUACCUUCAAGCUCUGCUUGGUGUUGGGUGUUUGUCUCGCCUUUGCGUGUAGACUCGCCUUAAAACAAUUGGCAGCCGGCGUAUUGAUUUCGGAGCGCAGUACAUCUCGCGCUUUGCACUCAUAACGACGACGUCCAAAAAGUACUUUUUACACUCUUGACCUCGGAUCAUUAGGACCCGAAU